AUUGAACGCUGGCGGCAGGCCUAACACAUGCAAGUCGAACGAGUGGCGGACGGGUGAGUAAUGUCUGGGAAACUGCCUGAUGGAGGGGGAUAACUACUGGAAACGGUAGCUAAUACCGCAUACCAUCAGAUGUGCCCAGAUGGGAUUAGCUAGUUGGUGGGGUAACGGCUCACCAAGGCGACGAUCCCUAGCUGGUCUGAGAGGAUGAUCACUCACACGGGAACUGGGACCCGGUCCAGACUCCUACGGGAGUCAGCAGUGGGGAAUAUUGGACAAGGGGCUAAAGCCUGAUCCAGCCAUGCCGCGUGGGUGAAGAAGGUCUUCGGAUUGUAAAGCACUUUAAGUUGGGAGGCGUUACCAACAUAAUAAGCACCGGCUAACUUCGUGCCAGCAGCCGCGGUAAUAC
rnacentral:rRNA from 1 species